GGAAAACAGCUCUCUCUUUUGCCAUGAGGCAUCCAAUUCCUGGAAAGAGCACGGUUAAUGGCAAAUAAGAUUUCCUGGUCUUUGGGGCCAAGAUUUGUGUUGUGUGAGUGUGCUUUAUAAGCCUGUCACUGUUAGAUGCAGGCUUAUGCUUUUACGGCUGUCUUUAGCCUUAGCUUUUGUGGUUCUUCUGCCUGUAUAGUAUGCUCUUCCAAGGCAACUGCGGCUCGUUGAGAGACUAGGCUAAAGCAGAAUAGAGCAGAUACACAAAUUCAUAGAAGUUAAUAAUUUAAUUUUUUUAUUUUUUAUUUUUAUUUUUUGAGAUAGGGCCUUGUUCUGUCGCGGAGGAGGGAGUACAGUGGCACGAGCACGGCUCACUGCAGCCUUGACCUCUGGGCUCAAGCAAUCCUUACACCUCAGGACCCCACACUCAGCUCCCCGAGUAGUUGGGACUACAGGUGCACAUCACCACACCUGGCUAAGUUUUAAAAUUUUUUGUAGAAUCAGCAUCUCCCUAUGUUGCCCAGGCUGGUCUCAAACUCCUGAGCUCAAGUGAUCCUCUGGCCUCAGCUUCCCAAAGUUCUGGGAUUACAGGCAUGAGCCACUGCACCCAGCCACAAUUUAAUUUCUUUAAAAAACCAUUUCAAAAGAGAAUGUCAGAAAAACAUGUGGCCAAAACAGCACCCACCCUUAAACCGAUUCUUGAUUGAGGGGUGGAGCUGGAGGCGGAUGUAAUACGUCAAUAGGGAUUCUUAAAUAUUCUAAAAUAAUUAUUGGAAAGAUAGUACUGAGGAUGGAUGGGUCAAUCUGAUGCUUCUUGAUCACACUGAGGCUUGAGUUAAGGUCUAGGGAGUUUUCAGCACGGGCAUCAGAAUUUCUUUUCGAUCCCUCUUCUCCUUUGCAGUGGUUUGAGAUAUGUCUUCUUCGUGAUGCUUGUGUGAGAGUAAAGGAGGACUCCAAACAAACAAAUGCAGAUAGCCCAGAGUGGAAAGGGCUGUAGAAGGGGUGUGUACCCGCCACACUCACAGCAGCCAAUCCAGAAAGGCUUCAUUGAGGAGGUGUUUUGCAAAUAACUAGAUAAACAGGAAGCGAGGAGGAAGUGGUGGUGACCGGAUCCUGUGGAGCUAGUUUGGGCAAAGGGAAAAAGCAUAUGAAAACUAAUAAUAAUAAGAGUGCCUAGCACUUGUUGAGAGUUUAUUAUAGGCAGCUGCUCUGCUAACUAUUUUACAUAGAUGAUCUCAUUUAAUUCUCACAACAAAAAAACUUUGGUUCCAAUUUCAUCCCCAUUUUAAUCCACAGAAAAUCAAGGCAGAGCAAGGCUAUGCUACUUACCCUCAGUUGCACAGCUAGUAAGUAGUAGAACCAGGAUUUGAAUCUCAGAGUCCAGUCUCUUAACCUGUUUUUGCAGAAAGGAUCUGCUCUGUUUGACCCUAUUAAGGAGCUUGGUAAACUUAGAGCCUAGCCUGCUUUCUGGGUGGGAGAUUGUUGGAUUUUUACCUGGGAAGUGAUAUAUUUCUUAAUCACAAGCCUGAUUGGAAUUUUGCAACUGGGGUUUUUGGAGUGGGUGGCCAAUGAGGGAUGGGGAGGGUGUAAGUGAAACUUUAGUGAUUUAAAAAGUUCUUUUGCUUAUCUCUGUAUGGCAGUAAAAUUUUUCCUAAAAUUUCCUUAAUUUUUCUUCUAGGCAUAUGUGUAUAUGUGAAAGGUAACUUGUAGGUGGCCUGGGAAAUUAGUUGUGUGUGUGGGAAGGCAUGCUUGGGGGUGGAGGCACAGUUAGAAGUUAGAAGGCAAGAGAUAUUGAUGAUGUUGAUGAUGACAAUGAAUAUUUAAUUAAGCACUUAUGUACAGUGGAACUUAUGUGCUACUCUGUUCUUAUUUAAUCCUCUCAAUGGCCUGAAAGGAUAGAUAAUCAUACUCUCAACUUUCAAAUGAAGAGACUAAGGUUCUCAGAGGUGAAAUAGCUUGUGCAAGGUCACACUGCUGGUAAGAGCCAGGAUAUGGGUCUGUAUGAUUUCAGAAUCUUUUUUUUUUUUUUUUGAGAUGGAGUCUUGCUCUGUUGCCCAGGCUGGAGUGUAGUGGUGCAAUCUUGGCUCACUGCAACCUCUGCCUCCUAGGUUCAAGCGAUUCUCCUGCCUCAGCCUCCCGAGUAGCUAGGAUUACAGGUGGGAGCCACCACACCUGGCCAAUUUUUGUAUUUUUAGUAGAGAUGGAGUUUUACCAUGUUGGCCAGGCCAUUCUCGAACUCCUGACCUCAAGUGAUCCACCUGCCUCAGACUCCCUAUAUAGCUAGGAUUACAGGCAUGAGCCACUGGGCCUGGCCUGAUUUCAGAAUCUUAACCCUUAAACUCUGACAGCAUGCCCUAGUGAGGGAGGCAAGCAUACCCAGAGAGGUCUUAAGAUGCCUGAGGUGCCAGGAGAGCAUGGAGAUGCCUGGGAAAAAGUAUUAUAAAUAUAUACAUUUGGAAACUUGGAAAUUGACAUAUGAUAAUGGACUUUAGGAAAUGAAUGUGUAGAGGAAGAAGUCAGGUGAUGCUGGUGUCCUGGGGACCACUCUAUGGAAGGAGAGGACACUGGGAAUAGAAGACCUUUGAAAAUCAUGAUGGGCAUGAAGAUCCCAGCCCAGGUCCCACCACUUAUUCGCUGUCACCUGGCAUCUCAAUCUCUGCAUCUGUAAAAAUGAAGAAAAUAAUCCACCUCCCUGGAUGACUUCAUGAGAUUUUUUGUAGUCAUCAGUGAGGUACUGUACAUAGACGUGCUGUAAGGACGAAAAGUUCUUCACAGUAGGAUGUGUAGGAAAGCAAACAGGGUGCAGUGGAGGAGGCUGAACCCAGCACAUGGGCUGAGGAUGCCGGGAGGGAACAGGGUUGGGGGCUGAAUCCUAACAGGGGAAAGCUACUGAGCUGCUCCUGUAGGUUGGGCCUGGAUGGAAAUCCUGGAAGCAAUAACUCCAAGAAGGAUUCAAAAGUGGGACAAGAAGAGCAGGAACCAGGAAUGGAAAAACUCCAAGGAACAUGAGUGAAGAGGUUAGUGCUGCAGAGGAGCCCUGGCCGGGGUCUCUAAGUCAGGGAUUCCUGCCCCAGCUCUGACCCGAACAGGUUCUUUGACCUUGAACACAUGGCUGCCACUUUCUGGGCUUUGGUCUUCUCCUCUGUGAAAAUGAUAAAGUUGGCAUAGAUUAACCCCACAGCACCAACUAGGAAUGGCAAAUACUGCUAUGUCUUAGCCCAGGCCUGGGGCUGUGUGGAAGUGAUACGGGAGGGGUACAGGGAAGUGCUCGGUAGAGAAAGACAGGGUCCCUGACAAGGGCUCCACCCUUGGGCCUGAGCCCACGGACCUAGGUGAGGACAGGCACUCCUGUUUCCUCGCCCAAAUGUUGCAUUUUCCAAGACCACCCUGGCCCGUCAUGCCCCCGACCCUGUGGCUAUAAAAACCCCAAGACCUUAGCGGGCACCUACACUAACAGCUGGACAUCAAGAGGAACACACUGGCAGAAGCACACACAAGUGGCUGGACAUCGACAGGAACACACUGGCAGAAGAACACAUAGACACUGACAGGCCAUCAACAGCAGAAUGACAUGGAGGGUGGUCCAAGGAGAGCCUGGCUGCUGAGCGGCCCGACUCCAGGGGAAGACCAUCUUCCCACUCCAUCCCCCUUCUGACUCCCCAUCUAUAUGCUGAGAGCUACCUCCAUCAUUCAAUAAAACUUUGCAUUCAUUCUCUAAGCCCACACAUGAUUCGAUUUUUCUGGUGCACUAGGGCAAGAAUCCAGGAUACAGAAAGCCCUCCGUCCUUGUGAUAAGGCAGAGGGUCUAACUGAGCUGAUGAACACAAGCUGCCUGCAGGCGGCGAAGCUGAAAGAGCACACUGUAACAUAUGCCCACUGGGGCUUCAGGAUCUGUAAACGCUCAACCCUAGAUGCUGCCGUGGAGUUGGAACCCACGCUCCCCAUGACCUGCCCAUCUGCCUGCUCCCACUAGGGGUUUGAGCAGCAGGCACCGAAGAAGUGAGCCACACCCCCAUCACACGCCCUUUAAGAGAACAAGGGAACUUUUCCCAUUUCAGAAGGUUGUGUUGAGAAGGGUGGCGAGGCUAACAGGGCAGGUGUCCGGGUGGAGGGGUGGAACUGGCUGUUGGCAUGUGGUGGGGGAGGUGCUUCAUCUGGGUCUUGCAUUUGUUCCCUCUGACCCCAGCCUCAAAAAAACAGGACACUCACAGUUCAGGAAGCUGCCAAGGGUCCGAGCAGUGGCCUUGCUUUGCUGUGGUAUGGUCCUGCAACUCCAGGGCAGACCUAGACUCAUGGGAAAGUCCCUGCUUUGUGAGGAGGCUGAAAGAAGAUGAGUGGGGAGUGGCCGGAAGAAGAAAGGUGACUCCCAAGGUCUGGGCCAAGGAAGGGUUUUGGACAGGAAAGGGGACUCACAACAGGGCAUGCUUGGGAGGAAUUGUUUAAGGCUUUCAACCCUCGCCAAGGCGAAUAACGUGAGACAAGACCUGUAAGUUACUUUAGCUAUAUAUAGUGUGUAACCUGAAAAUGCCUCCCCUUGCAGCACUUGUGCUGUUGAACUUACAGUGAGUCCCUCUGUGGAGGGUGGAGUCAGGGAAGAGGUUCUGCUGGAGACAGACAAAGGUAGGGAAGCGCUCACUGGCUUUGAAGAAUUUCCUCAUUUUUAUGCCUGGGGUGUAACCAGAGACCAGUGUCAACAAGGAAUCUGGCUUGGAACGCUUUUGUCUGCAGCCCUCUUUGGAGCCUGACUUGCUCUUUCAGAGGUCUGUAUUUCUCUACCUGGACUACCCUGAGAGCUAACCCCAGUUAUUGGUCUGGAAGCAAUGAAUGAAGGCCGGGACAGAGCUUGAGGAAGGCAAUAUCAUUUCGUCACAGUCACCAUCAAGAAUCUAGUUGCAGGCUGGGUGCUGUGGCUCACGCCUAUAAUCCCUGCACUUUGGGAGCCGAGAUCUGAAGAAGAAAACAGAAGCAACAUUCGAAUUAACAUCAGUCAACUGAUGGAAUAUUUUAGAUGAAGUAAGAGAAGCCAAGGCAUGUACCCUCAGGCUCUGGGCUUCUCCCUGCAAGGUUGGGAAGAAAUUUGGAGGAGGCAAAGUGGGAGCAAGUCAGAUGGAAGAGACAUUAUGGG